CCUGCUUUCAGAAAUUUUAAUUCCUUUAGUUUAGCCUAACCCCAUGCAUCCUAUACACACGGCGCACACUCUCGCACUCCAUACAUUUAGCUAAUAAAUUACGUUAUAAACAAAAAAGCAAAAUAAAAAGAUAAAUUACGUUAUCACUAGCUAUCCUAUAUCCCACUUAGACUGAGUUUUGGAUUCAGGUUCGAAACGUAAAACCUUAACUGGGCAUGGGCUUUUUGAAUAUAAGUAAAUAUAAACCGUAAACUUACCUAAACCAAAGGCUCGGUUAAAU
rnacentral:lncRNA from 1 species